CUGUAAUUUGCACUGACAUUCACUGGCGUUAUCCACUUAUUGCCUGGUAAGCCAAAUAGGAGAUUUGUCUGAUUUUGAUCCCAGGAAGAGAAAUGACAACCCUGCUCCACUCUUGCCAUUCUAAACAAGGCACCAAGCUGGUCCUCAGGUCUGAGUUCUGGCUGGCAGUGACCCCUCGCAAAAUGUGGGUCUUCGCUAUCAUUCCUCCUUUCCUCCUCUGGCUGAAAUUUCCUUUCAGGCCUGACAUCCGGCAAACACUGAACUAGAGAUUUUGGUUGCUGAAGAACCCUGCCCAAGCUGUAAGAGAAACAAGGCUGAACAAGAGGCUCAAGAGAAGUGGCAUGAAGGGAGUUAGCCUGCGAGCAGGGCUUGCUACAUAAUUGGCAAGGCCCAGUACAAAAUAAAAAAGUAGGACCCUUGCUCAAAAAAGGGGGGGAAAGUGUUGUUAAA
rnacentral:lncRNA from 10 species